rnacentral:rRNA from 1 species
UAUUAUAAUAUAAUAUUUGUUAUAAAAAAACCAUGUAGUAUGAUACCAGAAUCUAUUUGAUCUAUUUAUGUGCAGGUAUGAAAGUGUCAGGACCGUACCAGUGUCUGUUGCAAUAGACUUGGAUGACAUAUAAAUAGGGCGGUGAAAGGCCAAUCAAAGUUAGAAAUAGCUGGUUUUCUGUGAAAUAUAUGUAAGUAUAGCGUAGUAAUAUACCGUAUAGUUUAUCUAAUAAGUAAGAUAUGGCGGAUUUUAUACUAUAGUCAAACAUAAGGUGAUAAGAUCGGUAUGUUGAAACUAAAAGAGUAUAGAUGCUGUGUUAAGGUUUAUAAAGUAUUACCCAUCUAAAGCC